rnacentral:rRNA from 1 species
GACGAACGCUGGCGGCGUGCCUAAUACAUGCAAGUCGAGCGCAGGAAGCCGUCUGAACCCUUCGGGGGGACGACGGUGGAAUGAGCGGCGGACGGGUGAGUAACACGUAAAGAACCUGCCCAUAGGUCUGGGAUAACCACGAGAAAUCGGGGCUAAUACCGGAUGUGUCAUCGGACCGCAUGGUCCGCUGAUGAAAGGCGCUCCGGCGUCGCCCAUGGAUGGCUUUGCGGUGCAUUAGCUAGUGGGUGGGGUAACGGCCCACCGAGGCGACGAUGCAUGGCCGACCUGAGAGGGUGAUCGGCCACACUGGGACUGGGACACGGCCCAGACUCCUACGGGAGGCAGCAGUAGGGAAUCUUCCACAAUGGACGAAAGUCUGAUGGAGCAACGCCGCGUGAACGAUGAAGGCUUUCGGGUCGUAAAGUUCUGUUGUAAGGGAAGAACAAGUGCCGCAGGCAAUGGCGGCACCUUGACGGUACCUUGCGAGAAAGCCACGGCUAACUACGUGCCAGCCGCCGCAGUAAUAC